rnacentral:rRNA from 1 species
GAUGAACGCUGGCGGCGUGCCUAAUACAUGCAAGUCGAGCGAACAGACGAGGAGCUUGCUCCUCUGACGUUAGCGGCGGACGGGUGAGUAACACGUGGAUAACCUACCUAUAAGACUGGGAUAACUUCGGGAAACCGGAGCUAAUACCGGAUAAUAUAUUGAACCGCAUGGUUCAAUAGUGAAAGACGGUUUUGCUGUCACUUAUAGAUGGAUCCGCGCCGCAUUAGCUAGUUGGUAAGGUAACGGCUUACCAAGGCAACGAUGCGUAGCCGACCUGAGAGGGUGAUCGGCCACACUGGAACUGAGACACGGUCCAGACUCCUACGGGAGGCAGCAGUAGGGAAUCUUCCGCAAUGGGCGAAAGCCUGACGGAGCAACGCCGCGUGAGUGAUGAAGGUCUUCGGAUCGUAAAACUCUGUUAUUAGGGAAGAACAAAUGUGUAAGUAACUAUGGACGUCUUGACGGUACCUAAUCAGAAAGCCACGGCUAACUACGUG